rnacentral:RNase_P_RNA from 3 species
ACGUAAGGUCGAAUAGUCGCGGAGUGAGAUGCUAUCGCGUCAAGCUCUGAGGAAAGUCCGAGCUCCAAAGGAUGCUGCGCUGGGUAACCCCCAGGCGCUGCUUGUGGAAAGGAAUGUCCCGCAUAAGGACGCGUCCUUUCCAAGAGAUAGCAGUGACGGAGAGUGCCACAGAAAACAGACCACCUUCCACAAAUCUUGGAGGGCAAGGGUGAAAAGGUGAGGUAAGAGCUUACCGCAUCGUCGGUGACGAGGAUGGCAUGGUAAACCCCGCAGGGAGCAAGGCAAAUAGUCCUCAAUAUGUUGAUCCGGCAGAUUCCCCCACUGAAUCUUUGGGGGAUGAGAGGACGGGUUCGCUGCUUGAGGUUGCUGGUAACAGCAAUCCUAGAGAAAUGACUAUUCAUCCCCCACUCAAUCAAUGGGGGAGGACAGAACUCGGCUUACAGACCUUACGUAUCU